rfam:Planktothrix tepida PCC 9214 isolate BBR_PRJEB10993 genome assembly, scaffold: BBR_B_PL9214_scaffold44
AGAGUCAGUCAGCCUAAUCCACUCUUUUUUAAUGGAGUUGGAACGGGGGAACCAUUUUUAGGGGCUUAUCUUGAUUGUUUACUAUUGUCGAGAAGGACAUCUCUCAGUCCUAGCCCGUCAGCUAACCCCGUCGGCUGUGAGAGAAGACUG